AUUGAACGCUGGCGGCAGGCCUAACACAUGCAAGUCGAGCGGAGCGGCGGACGGGGGAGUGAUACCUAGGAAUCUGCCUGUUCGUGGUGGCUGGCGUCCAGUACUGGGCACUAAUACCACAUCCUCUCAGAUUAGCCUAGGUCGGAUUAGCUAGUUGGUGGGGUAAAGGCCUACCAAGGCCACGAUCCGUAACUGGUCUGAGAGGAUGAUCAGUCACACUGGAACUGAGACACGGCCCAGACUCCUACGGGAGGCAGCAGUGGGGAAUAUUGGACAAUGGGCGAAAGCCUGAUCCAGCCAUGCCGCGUGUGUGAUGAAGGUCUUCGGAUUGUAAAGCACUUUAAGCUGGGAGGCGGUACCAACAGAAUAAGCACCGGCUAACUACGUGCCAGCAGCCGCGGUAAUAC
rnacentral:rRNA from 1 species